rnacentral:rRNA from 1 species
GGGAAUCUUACUAGGUCCAGACAAAGGGAGGAUUGACAGUUUGAGAGCGCUUUCUUGAUUCUUUGGGUGGUGGUGCAUGGCCGUUCUUAGUUGGUGGAGUGAUUUGUCUGGUUAAUUCCGUUAACGAACGAGACCUUAGCCAUCUAAAUAGUAUUUUAAACAUCAUUUUAAUAUGCUUCUUAGAGGGACUGUGUGUUUGAGCACAAUGAAGUUUAAGGCAAUAA